GUCAAUGCGGUUGCACAUGAAAAAAAAAACAAAUUAUUGCCUUAAUCGGACUCUAAAUGGAGAACUUAAGUGCAUGUAAACACGUGACUUCGACUAAAACAGUGUUCUCCUUAUAUGCAAUUGGAAUUCAGUUUUCUCCGGAAUGUAUACACUUAAUCGGACGUCAGGGUAACGCGUGUGCGCAUGCUCCACAACGACCGCGCUGGCGUGUGACUUAGGAACAAAAACAUCCAAGGAAACUGGUCGCAGGAGAAGAAGACAGAUAUCAGAGACAGGAAAUCAAACCCCAUGACUGGAAGUAUCUUCAAGGCGGUGGCCGGAUGGGGCACGGUCACUAACUCCUUAUCUCCUCGUGUAAUACUCUGUUUGAAAAGCUCAGUCCAAAUGUUUUGAUUGAGCCGGCAGACCUUCGCCCGGCAUAAUGAAAUCCAAAUGGAGCAACUCCUGACUGAAAUUCCUCCACUACAAAUUUGUCAUCGUGGGAACUUCAUGCUGUCACCCAGGCUAAUGGGAAGCAGUUCUCUGGACGGCUCUCAUAAGAGCUGGAAACCUCACAACAAGACACUAAGAAGUAAAAUGAAAGAAACAUGUGAGACAUAUUGUGUUGUUUCAACUUUCAACCUUCAACUUUCAGUCUCAUGCUAAGCUAAGCUAACUUGUUGAAGCUUCCCAGUUAGCAUACAGAUAUGUAAUUAAACACUUUUUAAAUUGAAAA